rnacentral:rRNA from 1 species
CCUACGGGAGGCAGCAGUGGGGAAUAUUGCACAAUGGGGGAAACCCUGAUGCAGCGACGCCGCGUGAGUGAAGAAGUAUUUCGGUAUGUAAAGCUCUAUCAGCAGGAACGAGACAAGACGGUACCUGACUCAGAAGCCCCGGCUAACUACGUGCCAGCAGCCGCGGUACUACGUAGGGGGCAAGCGUUAUCCGGAAUCACUGGGUGUAAAGGGAGCGUAGACGGCUGAGCAAGCCUAAAGUGAAAGGCGGGGGCCCAACCCCCGGACUGCUUUGGAAACUGUACGGCUGGAGUGCAGGAGAGGUAAGUGGAAUUCGUGGUGUAGCGGUGAAAUGCGUAGAUAUUAGGAGGAACACCAGUGGCGAAGGCGGCUUACUGGACUGUAACUGACGUUGAGGCUCGAAAGCGUGGGUAGCAAACAGGAUUAGAUACCCUUGUAGUC